GCAGACACAUUCCAGCCAAUCAGCGGCAGACCCUCCCUCCCAGACCCUCCCACCUCCUGGACAGCAUCCAUUUUACAUUCAUUGUGAAGCUGCAUUCUUAGUGAGCUGUCCAGGAGGUGGGAGGGUCUGGGAGGGAGGGUCUGCGGCUGAUUGGCUGGAAUGUGUCU